UACGGAGGGUGCGAGCGUUAUCCGGAUUUACUGGGUGUAAAGGGCGUGUAGGCGGGAAGACAAGUCAGAUGUGAAAUCCCCGGGCUUAACUCUGGAGCUGCAUCUGAAACUGGUUUUCCAGAGUGCCGGAGAGGAAAGUGGAAGUCCCAGUGUAGCGGUGAAAUGCGUAGAGAUUGGGAGGAACACCAGUGGCGAAGGCGGCUUUCUGGCGCAUAACUGACGCUCAGGCGCGAAAGCGUGGGGAGCAAACAGG
rnacentral:rRNA from 1 species